rnacentral:rRNA from 1 species
GAUUAACGCUGGCGGCGUGCCUUAUGCAUGCAAGUCGAACGAGCACCGCAAGGUGCUAGUGGCGAACGGGUGCGUAACACGUAAGUAACCUACCCUUAAGUAUAGGAUAACCCCCGAAAGGUGGACUAAUACUGUAUGUGCUCCUUUCUCACAUGGGGAAGUAGUAAAGCCGUAAGGCGCUUGAGGAUGGGCUUGCGUCCGAUUAGCUAGUUGGUGAGGUAACGGCCCACCAAGGCGACGAUCGGUAGCUGGUUUGAGAGGACGACCAGCCACACGGGGACUGAGACACGGCCCCGACUCCUACGGGAGGCAGCAGCAAGGAAUAUUGCGCAAUGGGCGAAAGCCUGACGCAGCGACGCCGCGUGAGGGAAGAAGGUCUUCGGAUUGUAAACCUCUUUUCUUAGGGAAGAAUAAUGACGGUACCUGAGGAAUAAGUCACGGCUAACUACGUGCCAGCAGCCGCGGUAAUACGUAGGUGGCUAGCGUUAUCCGGAUUUACUGGGCGUAAAGAGGGUGCAGGCGGCUCUUCAAGUCGGUUAUAAAAUCUCUUGGCUUAACUAAGAGGGACUGACCGAUACUGUUGGGCUGGAGAGCAGCAGAGGGAGAUGGAAUUCCCGGUGUAGUGGUGAAAUGCGUAGAUAUCGGGAGGAACAUCAGUGGCGAAAGCGGUCUCCUAGGCUGUUUCUGACGCUGAGGCCCUAAAGCGUGGGGAGCAAACAGGAUUAGAUACCCUGGUAGUCCACGCCCUAAACUAUGGAUACUAGGUAUGGGGGGUAUCGACCCCCUCCGUGCCGAAGUUAACACGUUAAGUAUCCCGCCUGGGGAGUACGGCCGCAAGGUUAAAACUCAAAGGAAUUGACGGGGGCCCGCACAAGCAGCGGAGCGUGUGGUUUAAUUCGAUGCAACACGAAGAACCUUACCAAGGCUUGACAUACUGGAAGUAGAGAACCGAAAGGUCGACGACCUGUUAAAUCAGGAGCCAGCACAGGUGCUGCAUGGCUGUCGUCAGCUCGUGCCGUGAGGUGUUGGGUUAAGUCCCGCAACGAGCGCAACCCUCGUUGCCAGUUGUUUUCUCUGGCGAGACUGCCCCGUAGAACGGGGAGGAAGGUGGGGAUGACGUCAAGUCAGCAUGGCCUUUAUGCCUUGGGCUACACACACGCCACAAUGGUCGGUACAAUUAGUUGCAAUGGAGCGAUCCGGAGCUAAUCCCUAAAACCGAUCUCAGUUCGGAUUGUAGGCUGAAACCUGCCUGCAUGAAGCUGGAGUUGCUAGUAACCGCAUAUCAGCAUGGUGCGGUGAAUACGUUCUCGGGCCUUGUACACACCGCCCGUCACGUCAUGAAAGCCGGUAACACCCGAAGUCGAUGGGCUAACCUUUAGUUUACUAGAGGGGGCAGUUGCCUAGGGUGGGACUGGUGAUUGGGACGAAGUCGUAACAAGGUAGCCGUAGCGGAAGCGGCCGCUCAAC